GACGAACGCUGGCGGCGUGCCUAAUACAUGCAAGUAGAACGCACAGUUUAUACCGUAGCUUGCUACACCAUAAACUGUGAGUUGCGAACGGGUGAGAAACGCGUAGGUAACCUGCCUGGUAGCGGGGGAUAACUAUUGGAAACGAUAGCUAAUACCGCAUAAUAUUAAUUAUUGCAUGAUAAUUGAUUGAAAGAUGCAAUUGCAUCACUACCAGAUGGACCUGCGUUGUAUUAGCUAGUAGGUGGGGUAACGGCUCACCUAGGCGACGAUACAUAGCCGACCUGAGAGGGUGAUCGGCCACACUGGGACUGAGACACGGCCCAGACUCCUACGGGAGGCAGCAGUAGGGAAUCUUCGGCAAUGGACGAAAGUCUGACCGAGCAACGCCGCGUGAGUGAAGAAGGUUUUCGGAUCGUAAAGCUCUGUUGUAAGAGAAGAACGGGUGUGAGAGUGGAAAGUUCACACUGUGACGGUAUCUGACCAGAAAGGGACGGCUAACUACGUG
rnacentral:rRNA from 1 species